AUGGACCAAUCCAUCCCUUUUUCCCGUGCAUAUGCAUCGGACUAGGAUGACGAUGGUCCCGAUGAAGAAGUUGAUGAGGAGGGGUUCACGCCGAAGGAGGCCCAAGCAUUCAAGAAGGUAUUCGGGAAGGACCACAAGACUCCAUUGUUCAAGGAUCUUAGUCUCGCGGAUGAAGCCGUUGUGGAUGGUGGCAAAUGCAUAUCUCUUGGAGCUAGGCCAAGUUCUCACCGUGAUUUGGAAGACGGCAAGAACGGGAUAUAUCCCAGUUGUGAGUUUGAAUCCUUCUUGGAAUUGAAGAUGUGGCUUGACAACUAUUCGGUUACACAUUAUCGUCCACAUAAAGUGGCCAACUCGGACGUCAAUGUGCGUUACACGGUCAAAUGUGAAGUGUCAAGAUGUCCAUGGAUUGUGCGUGUGAGGCCAUGGAAAGGAGGUCCCACUUGGCGUAUAGUGAGUUGUCUACCAACUCACAUGCCGGCACAAGAAUGCGGAUGGCGAGCUUGUGUACCAACAACACAGACAACUAACGUUCGAGUUCAUUGCUUACAGGUUAUCCAACCAAAUAUCCACACUUCCAAUAAUGAGCAUCAAGAGUGUCAUUGA
rnacentral:rRNA from 1 species